rnacentral:lncRNA from 1 species
UUCCCUUUUCCUUUGGAAACAAUAAAAGCGCGGUGGCGACUCUGGUUUUGUUGACGUUAAGCUUAUCCAUAGCUUGAUGGUCAUGAAUUUACCGCUACACUCCCCUCAUAUUAGUUUUGAUUUGAAAACUUCUUACCUUUGGGUUUUGUUCGUGCUUUUCCCUUUUCCUUUGGAAACAAUAAAAGCGCGGUGAUGACUCUGGUUUUGUUGACGUUAAGCUUAUCCAUAACUUGAUGGUCAUAUCUCCGCUCCACCUGUUUAUCCAAACCCCUAAGCUUUUG